AAUCUAAUAUCAAUGGUUCUCGAGAAUGAGUUCGUUUUCGCUUUGGUAUUUAUUUGUGCUUUAAUUAGAUUUUCUUUCUUUUUGAUUUAACCUCCAUUUGUAUGUAACCAUGUUGCGUUUGUCUUGACCAUGCAUGUAAUUAUAUAUGAGUAAUUUGCAUAGUUGCUUCAAUCUUGUAUGGACGUAUGGUAUUGUCACAAGUAGUACUAGUAUGUAAUAUGGACCACGGUUUUGGUUACAUGGCACAUGUGCAAAUUGUUACAAGACAAUUCCAGAGUCGUACUUAUAUUUUUACAAUCUCCACAUUAAUUUUGUUUUUAUUUUAAUAUACCUGUGUUUUAUUCGUUUGAACUUACCACUAACUAUGAGUUUAGUGAUUGAUUAAGAAUUAAUAGCAUCUACCUUUAACCCUUCUAGAUAUAUGAGAUCCUUAGAUUAACAACUGCAGGUUGAUCGAAGAACGGAAGGUAAAGUCUGCCUAAAGAGGGGGUUCAGGUUUGAUUAGCUUGCCCUUACUAUGGGAUUGCAACCCUUUUUCAGCCAUUUUGCAUGCAGCACCUCUAUCAUUCAAACAAUAGAGAGAAGUUUGCCUGAAGAGGGGGUUUGUGUUUGAUUAGCUAGUAAGGCUAUUCCCUAUUGUUUGGAAGCUAGGCAUAGGUGCUACAUGCAAAAUGAUCGGGGAAAAGGUUGAAAUCCAGUAAGGAAAAACUAAUUCCGAAAAAAAAAAAAAAAAAAAAACCUCAUUUCACCCCGACCGGCCACAUGUUCUGAUCUUAAUUUAUUUCUGGCAUAAGAUUUGUUUGAUCGAAGUUUGAACGUUAACACGCCAUUAGGCUAUCCAUGCCAGAAGCUUUGUUUUUCAUUGAAAGCUUACGCCUUCCCAACACUAGCUAGCUUGUUACAAAUAGAGCGAUUGAAGAUCCAAUUAGAGUCCCUUCUUUCAUUGGCACAUGUUUUUAGUUGAUCAAAUAAAUCCCAAUUCUGCACUAAUUAACAUCGCACUUCUGCACAAAUACACACAAACACACACACAGUCUUCACAUAGCAUAUCUAACCAGACAGUUAAACUUUGUAUAAGAAGUUCCAAUAAUUACAGUAGUUGCAUGGUUCAGACUUCCAGAACCUACCGGUAAAAUUGCCGUUGAAAAAUCAGUACAAGGCUCACGCGUUCAAAGUCUUCAAAAGACAUGAGUAGCAGAGAAGCGUGACUAAGCUAUAAGCCAGAUGGCUCGUACACUACUGACUCCUUGUCCCCCAUUUCAAUCCCAUGCCAAGUUUGAGCUUCAAUUCAGUUUUUUUCCUAAAACUUUCUGAUAAUCCCAAUUAAGUAGUCUCAAUCUCAGCUUAUAGCUAUGGCAGCUCCUCUAUAACAUGGUCAGAGCAUCCUAUUUUUGUGUGACUAGGCAAAUAAACCUUCACUGUUGAGAUUCUAUCUUCUUGGACCCCCACUCCCUGCAUGAAGCAUAUAUAAUAUAUCUAUGACACGUGUACAGAUCAUGAUCAUGAUCAACUGUCCAAGAGUGUGAAAUACCUGUUCUAACCUCGAAGCCCUAGGUUUCUCUCUGAUCAUUCUGUAUAAAGCCUGCUGCUGCAGCCUGCACGUCAAUUAAAAGAAAACGAAGGCAUGCUCUCUUAACUCCAUCACAUGUCCGUACGGUUUGGAGUAAAUAAUCAGUACAGCUGAAGCCGCCUUGCUUUUCCUAUUCUGCAGAAGAACAGAAAUGCAGGUUGCAAAGAUGAUCAGCAGCGACGCGGCAGCGACAGCAGAAGCGGAAGCGAGUCGUCACGGUAUGAUGAGCCGGCCCUACGAGAUGGUGAGGCAGCUAGGGUCAUGCAACGCGGUGGUUGUGUUCAGCGCGAGCGGCUGCCCAAUGUGCACCGUGGCCGAGCGCCUCCUCUUCAGCCUAGGAGUUGGCCCCACCAUCGUGGAGCUGGACCGCCACGUGGAGGGGCCGGACAUAAGGGAGGUGCUCCGAGAGCUGGCGGAUGGGCAGGGGCAGCAGCAGCCGGUUCCGGCGGUGUUCAUUGGAGGGAAGUUCUUGGGCGGCGUGGAGGCACUGAUGGCUUGCCACAUCAACGGCAACCUCGUCCCUCUUCUCAAGCACUCCGGCGCUCUCUGGCUCUGAUCUGAUGACCGAUGUCCUGAUUCUAAGUCGACUGGUUUCGCUUUUAAUUAGUUAAUUAUAGUUUCAAGAACAUGCAUCUCUGAAACCCAUAAUAUCAACCGUAGGGUUUUGCUUCUCUCACUUUAGUCUUUGUCUUCUCUAGCUUGCUAUUGGCUUAUGAGUAGGAUAAUGAUGAUAAACUUAUAUUACGUACAAGCUGGGUUGUACGGCCUAUUUCGUGGGUAUAACAUGAAACAUGCUAGCCUAAUUCUCAUGAUAAUCAUAUGUAAUAUCUUUUUAGCUAGCUAAUAUAUGUAUAAUUAUUAAUUAA